GAUGAACGCUGGCGGCGUGCCUAAUACAUGCAAGUCGAGCGAACAGAUAAGGAGCUUGCUCCUUUGACGUUAGCGGCGGACGGGUGAGUAACACGUGGGUAACCUACCUAUAAGACGGGGAUAACUACGGGAAACCGGAGCUAAUACCGGAUAACAUUUGGAACCGCAUGGUUCUAAAGAGAAAGAUGGUUUUGCUAUCACUUAUAGAGGGACCCGCGCCGUAUUAGCUGGUUGGUAAGGUAACGGCUUACCAGGGGGACGAUCCGUAGCCGACCUGAGGGGGUGGUCGGCCACACUGGAGCUUAGCCGCCGUCCUUGCUCCUGCGGGAGGCCGCAGUCGCCAACCUUCCGCAAUGGUCGAAAGCCUUGCGGAGCGACCCCACGUGAGUUGUGGAGGCUUUCGGCUCGUAAUGCCCUGUUAUUAGUUAAGAACCGAUGUGUAAGUAACUGUGCACGUCUUGACGGUACCUAAUCAGAAAGCCCCGGCUAACUACGUG
rnacentral:rRNA from 1 species